UACGUAGGGGGCUAGCGUUGUCCGGAAUCAUUGGGCGUAAAGCGCGUGUAGGCGGCCCGGUAAGUCCGCUGUGAAAGUCGGGGGCUCAACCCUCGAAAGCCGGUGGAUACUGUCGGGCUAGAGUACGGAAGAGGCGAGUGGAAUUCCCGGUGUAGUGGUGAUAUGCGUAGAUAUCAGGAAGAACACCCGUGGCGAAGGCGGCUCUCUGGGACGGUACUGACGCUGAGGCGCGAAAGCGUGGGGAGCAAACAGG
rnacentral:rRNA from 1 species